UACAGAGGAUGCGAGCGUUAAUCGGAAUUACUGGGCGUAAAGCGCGCGUAGGCGGCUUUGCAAGUCGGGUGUGAAAUCCCCAGGCUUAACCUGGGAACGGCAUUCGAGACUGCAUUGCUAGAGUAUGGGAGAGGGAAGUGGAAUGUCCGGUGUAGCGGUGAAAUGCGUAGAUAUCGGAAGGAACAUCAGUGGCGAAGGCGGCCUGCUGGGCAGUGGCUGACACUGAGGCGCGACAGCGUGGGGAGCAAACAGG
rnacentral:rRNA from 1 species